rnacentral:rRNA from 1 species
AGUGAACGCUGGCGGUAGGCCUAACACAUGCAAGUCGAACGGCAGCACAGAGGAGCUUGCUCCUUGGGUGGCGAGUGGCGGACGGGUGAGGAAUACAUCGGAAUCUACUUUUUCGUGGGGGAUAACGUAGGGAAACUUACGCUAAUACCGCAUACGACCUACGGGUGAAAGCAGGGGAUCUUCGGACCUUGCGCGAUUGAAUGAGCCGAUGUCGGAUUAGCUAGUUGGCGGGGUAAAGGCCCACCAAGGCGACGAUCCGUAGCUGGUCUGAGAGGAUGAUCAGCCACACUGGAACUGAGACACGGUCCAGACUCCUACGGGAGGCAGCAGUGGGGAAUAUUGGACAAUGGGCGCAAGCCUGAUCCAGCCAUACCGCGUGGGUGAAGAAGGCCUUCGGGUUGUAAAGCCCUUUUGUUGGGAAAGAAAUCCAGCCGGCUAAUACCUGGUUGGGAUGACGGUACCCAAAGAAUAAGCACCGGCUAACUUCGUGCCAGCAGCCGCGGUAACAC